rfam:Xenopus tropicalis strain Nigerian Chr07_contig_3392, whole genome shotgun sequence.
ACUCUAGGCUGCAACUGUGAAGAGACAUGAGAGGUGUAGGAUAAGUGGGAGGCCCCCGCGCUCACCGCAAAGGGGCGCCGCCGGGGAAAUACCACUACUCUUAUAGUUUUUUCACUUACCCAGUGGGGCGGGGGGCAAGCCCCAAGGGGCUCUCGCUUCUGGACCCAAGCAUCUGGCCCCGCUCCGAGGACAGUGGCAGGUGGGGAGUUUGACUGGGGCGGUACACCUGUCAAACCGUAAGUCCUAAGGCGAGCUCAGGGAAGACAGAAACCUCCCAUGGAGCAGAAGGGCAAAGGGUUUUUAGUAAGUUCUGACCAGGGAACCCAGGUUUUAUCCAAUCAGCAGACACUUUUUGCACAACUUCAGCUAUUGG